rnacentral:lncRNA from 1 species
UGCAGCAUCUUAGUGCUGCAAUUCUAAUUUUGUUGUUUCCCAUUUUGCAGAAAUUGGCUUUGUAGAGAGAAGGAGGCAGGUAUGGCUCAUGGCAAGACAGCUAUGAGAUAAGCAGCUUGCUCGGUGAACUACAGUCACUACAGCCACACAGCAGUCAUCAUCCAUGUGUACUUCUCACUGCAUUGGAGAAUCCAUGCCACAACUGGACUGUGAGCAUUCACUCAGAAAUGGUUUCAAGUCUGGUGCCAUUCCUUUCAGAUGAACAGUGUGAGAAGACACAAAAGGAGUUAUCAGGAGAAGGAUCAGUGUGAGCUCUGUGAGACAAAAAAAUGUGAUUGGUGAGUGAUAUAGCUAAAAUUUGUGCCUUCUCUGUCCUUCCAGCCCUUAUGGUUUAAUUCUGUCUUUUAAAAUUUCCCCUGAAUUUU